rnacentral:rRNA from 1 species
UACGAAGGGGCUAGCGUUGUUCGGAUUACUGGGCGUAAAGCGCACGUAGGCGGAUCGAUCAGUCAGGGUGAAAUCCCAGAGCUCAACUCUGGAACUGCCUUUGAUACUGUCGAUCUGGAGUAUGGAAGAGGUGAGUGGAAUUCCGAGUGUAGAGGUGAAAUUCGUAGAUAUUCGGAGGAACACCAGUGGCGAAGGCGGCUCACUGGUCCAUUACUGACGCUGAGGUGCGAAAGCGUGGGAGCAAACAGG